UACGUAGGGUGCGAGCGUUAAUCGGAAUUACUGGGCGUAAAGCGUGCGCAGGCGGCUUUGCAAGACAGAUGUGAGAUCCCCGGGCUCAACCUGGGAACUGCAUUUGUGACUGCAAGGCUAGAGUACGGCAGAGGGGGAUGGAAUUCCGCGUGUAGCAGUGAAAUGCGUAGAUAUGCGGAGGAACACCAAUGGCGAAGGCAAUCCCCUGGGACUGUACUGACGCUCAUGCACGAAAGCGUGGGGAGCAAACAGG
rnacentral:rRNA from 1 species